UGUGUGUGUGCUUCUUGCUUUUUCUUCUUCUCGUUUUAUUUUCUUCGUAAUUUUCUUUUGUU
rnacentral:ribozyme from 1 species